UUCCCUCAAAGCCGGUCUUCCCGCGCGGGCGCCCCCGCUGCCGCUAGGCCGCCGUCCCCCGCGCGCCCUGGCCGCGGGACCCCGGGCCUUCCUGCACUCCUCGGAGGAAGCCGGGGCGGCGGGUGGGCUGCGGGCGUCCGCGGGGAGGGGGCGCGCGUGGGCCGGCCGGGCCCGGCCGCGUGCGCGCGGGAGGCGGGGGUGUGCCUGAGCGUGUGCGCGGUCUGGGAGGGUGUGCCUCGCAAGCGGCCGGCCGGGCUGGGGGGCGGGGCGGCCCGAGCGGGCCCCGACCGCGAUCCCGGCGCCGGCCCGCGGGAGUCCAGUGGAAGGUCCGCGGGAGGACACGCGCGAGCGCCCAGCCCGGCUCCGGCCCGUCCCCGCCAGUCGUGAAGCUGCCUCGUCGCCGGCCCCGCCGCCGCCGCCUGCUCCGUCCCGCUCCGCCGCCCACCGGCUGCCGCCGCCCGCCUCCGCUCUAGCGCCCACCGGCCGCCCGGAACGUCCGCGCCCAAUAAAGCGUUCCUCCAAAGCGUGUUUGUGCGGUUGUCUGUAUCCCGGUCUCUUGCAAUCGCUCUCAUGUUAAAAAAAAAUCUUUGACUUUUCUUUUUCUGACUUCAGCGAAAAUCCCGCUCCGGGUGUCCUUAGCCCAGUUUCAUUCAUCCAAGUUGUGGCCUUUCUUGCGCCUCCAGAAGACACUUUCUUCCCCCUGCUUUUGAUUGAUCUUGAGGUGUGAUAAAACAAAAAUCAUUGUACCACGUCCGAACUUUGUAAGCACAGCUUCCUACAGCACUAGAGGAGUGGACGCAUUUUUACAUUUGAAAUCAGGCUCCGGGUCAAUUGCGAGGAGUAUUACCAAGUUUGGUUGAACUUAAGCUCAAUUGAUAAACUAACAAUCACGGAGCGUCGGGAGGUUGUUAGGAAGUGUGCUUUGCAUACUGUUAACUGGGAAAGGACGCCACUGCCUCUCUAUGAGGUCUAGACAGCCUGGACAGACAUGCCAUUGUGUCCCCCAGCUUGUUCUUCAUGGAUUUGGAAGAAGUUAAGAUAGUAUCGUUCAGCCUCUUGAAUAUUCCUCUUGGCCCUCCUCCUUCCUUACCAGCAUAUGUAACUCAGAAAGGAUAGAAGCAGUGAAAACAAAGCAUUAUUAAAAGGGAAGAUUUUUAAUUAGGUGGAAGUUGUUUAAGCCCUCCCUUUAACGUACGUGUUUUAGGAAGUGUAGAACUUGGGAAAUUCGUUACUGAAAUAUCUUUGGUUUACUUUCCUUGUCUUGGGGAGGUAGCAGGUGACAUUGAAAGAGGCAACCUGUAGGCAAUAAUAUUUGCUUAUUCUGUAACCCUUUGAAACCUUUGAAAUGAAGACUUGCCCUCCCCUUUGUUUUUGCCAUAGUUGCCAAGUAUCUUGGUUAACAUAGUUGCAAGUAUUAAGUGUAUUUCUUUUACCAUAUUUUUUUAUGUCCUGUAAUAACAUAGCCUUUGGAUGUGGAGCACCCAUUUUUCACUCUAGUUCAGAUCAACCGAGUGUAAUUUGGUUAAAAUAAUAAAUAACCCUCCUUGAAGUUUUCGCAUGAGGGAAGGGGGCAAAAAAAAAAGCCCUAGAAAGUAGAUAAUAAAGGUGAACUGCCUCUUGGAGAAAGAGGCCCCAUGGCAGUAGAUAGAAGGUUGUAACACUUGUGACUUAUGUACAAUGGCGAAGUUAUGUUGAGGAGAUCCUUGACCUAAAUAAAGUAAUAUUAAACAACAACUUCUCACUUAUUUGUUCAAAAACCUAUCUGUAGCUUGUAAAUAUGGCACAAACACAAAGACUUCCAGGUUUUAGACCAGUUUGCUUGCUUUCAGUUUAGGAAAAUAGGAUUCUAAAAUAGGAUGAAUAUUUUGGGGGAAAGGAAUUUAAAAAGUUAACUCUAGGUUUAUGAAAUGAAAAAUGCGACUGUGAGCUUGCACACCGGUAGCAGGCCUUGGAGAAACCACAGUUCUAACCUGAGGCACUUUGUGCUUCUGUUGCAAGAAGGGUAUUAUUGAAGCUCCUCAGUUCAAAGUUGCGUAUCUUUCACGUUUUUAGAUUCUUAAGUGUAUACCUCUUUACCCCUUUAAUAUGAUGUUUUCCUUUCCUUCCCCAAAUCAUUUAUGCAUCUUGGAAUUGAGGAAAAUGCUGUGUUAGGCAACUUUAACAGCGGAUAUGGAAGUUAAGAAACUAUAGUUUUUCCAGCCUUUGGACUCCCAGAGCUGCUCUCCUGUUUCUUCUCCGUAGUACUCAACCUGGAGAGCAUUCUUAGUCUGUUUGGAGAAUAUUAACUCCUCCCUGUCCUCAUUACUUUUUUUUGACCGUAGCUUGACUCCUUUAAAUUGAGCUUACAAAGUUUUAAAAUUUAAAAUACAGGCCCUGUGUUGGCUGCCAAAGUAUCUGGAUUGUAGCAAAGUCAGUUGCGGGAACCCCCAUUGAAAGAUUUCAGAGUGUAUUAUGUAGAAUAAGUCCUAUUGAACUAUACAAUUGUACAAUUAGUCACCCAGAAAUUCCAAUACUGUUUUUCUCAGUUUGCAAGUAGGAGUUGAUUAUGAGUAUCUACUUUUGUACUUCCAAGUUUGGGCAUUUAUGAAUGUAGAUACUAGUCUUUGUAAGAAGAAAUUUAUUUUCAGGUACCAUUUAGCUUGAUUUUUAAAAAAUGUGUAUAUAAAAAAAGUUAUUUCCGUGUUCUCCCUGCUUUAGCGUGAAAAGUAGUUAAAAGUGUGGUUAAAUUCUGAACUAUGACAGUAAAAUAAUGGAUGUUGUGAAACUAGGCCUUUAAAGGUGACAAGCAAUUUGAAAAACUAGUUGUUUAGACCAGUCUUAGACCAUAUUUAUAGAAGAGUCCCUGGAAUAAAAAGAUUUUAAAAGUCCUGUUACACCCAUAUCAGAUAGCAUCAAGAGAGUUUUAUUCACUUCUGGAAAACACAGUAUUCAAAGGCUGUAAUGUGAAAGGACAUAGCCACAAAGGAGAGACCAAGGCUGCAGUCCCAGGUAGCCUCAUUUCAGUGUGAGGAAGGCCUUCUCUGACAAUGGAAAAAGAAAUGGAUUGCCUGUGAGAUGGUGAGGUCUAUAUCCACCUCCACCCUGCCCCCCUGCAAUGAGAACUUUGAGGUAGAUGAGGAGAAGGGGUCAUGUGUUUGGUGAGUGAGCUCUCUUGAGAGUGGGAAAAUGGUUGAAGCCCUUUGGUUUCACUUGAUAAUUAGAUUUUAAAGGUUGGUGUUUCAGUUAGGUAAAAGACUGAAGUGCCAAUACGUGAAUGGUAAAGCCGCAUACUGUGUAAGGUAGAGGAGCUUAGGAAAAAAAUGAAACUUUGUAGACACUUUUUAUGCCUUGGGUAUACAGGAAGAAGAAAUCUGAGGAAAGAAAUCUGUGCAAUACAUAAUAAGUAUUUUGUGGUUACUUACGUUAGGAACGCUAAUUACGUCUCAUGCCCUUUUCCCAGAAGGUGUUCACAGUUGGCAUAGAUUGUGAAAGCCCUGGGGUAAUACUUUUCCUGAAAUCUUCUCAUUGGCGUUCAGGAAUUUUUACGUGAAGAAUUAAAGGUUAAUGGCUUAAUAACUAAUUCACUUGCUAUAUGAUUGCAUUGCAUGUACAAUAAGAUAGCAUUUAUAUAUAUAUCUUCAUAUAUUUUUCUAAUAGGAAUAAAGAAGAUAGCUAUUUUGGAAAUCCUAAAUUCUUAUUAAAACAAACUAAUUUUUAUGUUUAAUACUCAAUGCAGAUUAUAUUUUACAUUUAGAUAACUCAUUGAAAUAGUACUUUGGUAGGGUAAGGAGUUUUGUGUAAUCUAAGUUCUGACUUGGUUUAAUUUGAAUAUAGAAAAGUAUAAUCAGUUCCUAAAAUGUAGAAAACAGUUGGUUUUCUGGUAGAGUGAUGAAGAAUUUUUCUCUAAACGCAAACCUUUUAUGAUUAGCAACACCUGGCAAAAGUUUUGUAUUUGUUCUAGAGUUCUUUUCAAGUUAGGAUGUUCUGAAAGUAAUGCCUAUGAGGUGCCUGUAUUUUAAAUACCUUUUGGAGAUGGAGAGUGUCAACCCUAGGUCCUUGUAGUUUGCUUGGCAACCAUUUGAUAACUAGGAAAUAGUGAAGUUUCUGCUCUGUGUUGGUGGGAGACAUCAGUUCAAACGGAAACAUGUAGCUGUCAAGUGGUCAAGUCUUUUUAGUCUUUUUUUUCUUCCCGUGGGCCCUCCCUAAACAGCUUAGCCUUGUAUCUUUAAUAAUCUCUCUUUGUGUUUUAUCUGCUUGAAACCAGGCAACUUAAAAUAGUUACCUAGUAAUGGAAGACUUGACCCUGUGAACAAUGUUAUACUUUCAUUUGGUAUUAAAUUUUCUUGGGUUACAGCUUAUUGCCGCAGCAAGCUAUUGAAGAAGGAAGGAGUCCUGUUCCUGCCCCUGAGCUACAGCUAAGGUACAAGGAAUGGCUUGGGGGUAAGGAGUCCUUCCUCACCAGAUAUGGUUUGUAUGUAUGAAGACUGCUGGUCAGAAGUUGACAUUUUGCACUAAUUUUUUUUCUUAAUUCAUGACUCACACAUUCAAUACUGAUGUUUCUAGAUUUUAAAAAUCUAGGUUGUAUCUAGUAUUAUAUGCAGACUGCUAUUGAAUCUUCUAACCUUUUAGAUUAUAAAAUCAGUUUCAAAAAAUUAAGAGUUCAAAAGCAAUGACAGGGAAGUCCUGAAGUAAUGUUUUUCAUCUAGCGCCUUUGCUGUGUUUGUACUACUACGUGUUUGACUCAUCUAAAAGAAACCUGGACUACCAGAAUGGGGUUUCACAUGAAGGUGGAAGGAAGGGUAGAGAACAGAUGAUAAAAUACUGUGUGAUUACUCAUGUUAUAAAAAGCCGUUGCAAUUUAAUUAUCAGACUUUUCCUAUUUAAUGUUCUUAGCUUUGUGUUAGAAUUUCCAAUAUACUCAUGAGUUUAUCUGUUGUUAGUGGAAGGCAAUAUUUUUAAGACACGUGUUAUCAACACAUGUAGUUACCUCUUAGGGGAAUCCUUAUUUAAGGAAUUAGUCAAAUGAAUGUCUGGUAGGUUAGCAGUUUGUCUAAAGGAAGAACUACCCUUGGGUUUGGAAAGUGACAGUUAAUUCAGCCUCUUAUCCUUUUUGUUGCUUUGAAAUUAGAGCAAGAGUUGGCAGCCUGUGGCUUCCAGGCCAGAUCUGACCUGUCACCCAUAUUUUUAUGGCUUGUGAAGUAGGAAAACAUUUUACAGUUGAAUAGGUGGGAAAAAAAACAGCAAUACUUUAUGACACUUGAAUUUCAUAAAACUUUCACGUUUCAGAGUCCAUAAGUCAAGUUACAUUGAACAUGACCCUGUUCUUUUGUUUAUAUUAUCUAGUCCUUUACAGAAGAAAUGUGCCAUCCCCUGAUUUAGAGUAUAUAGACACAAUUUUCUAGGUGCAACAUUUUUCUUGGCUUCUUAUGGUGCCGUUUUCUGAUGUUACUCUCUUGAUUUCUCCCUCCUUUCUUUUUUUUUUGAGAUGGAGUCUUGCUCUGUUGCCUAGGCUGGAGUGCUGUGGCGCGAUCUCGGCUCACUGCAACCUCUGCCUCCUGGGUUCAAGCGAUUCUCGUGUCUCAGCCUCCUGAGUAGCUGGGAUUACAGGCAUGUGCCACCAGACCCAGCUAAUUUUUUUUUUUUUUUUUUUUUUUUUUUUUUAAGUAGAGAUGGGGUUUCACCAUGUUGGCCAGGAUGGUCUCAAUCUGACCUCAUGAUCUGCCUGCUUUGGCCUCCCAAAGUGCUGGGUUUACAGGCCCUCUUCUCUUUAUGUACAAUUCCUUUAACCUUCAUGUGGAUGAUUUGCCGCCUUUUUUAACAAGCUGACAACUCUGGCAUUUCCUGUUGUCUUCUGUGCUGGUUAUGGCCUCUUGGGUAUCCCCUUGGCACUGCAAACUCAGUGUGGUUAAGAACUUAAUGUGUUGCCUGUCCCCAAAGUUGCCUCUGUUAUUGCUUAUUUCUGUUUAUCGCUUCUCUGUGUUCUGUCAUCUGGGGCUGAACAAAUCCAGUUCUCUUUUCCUGCAGUCUCAAUCCCAUAUAGUCUUCUCUGCCCUAGUUGAACUGCUCAUGUUGUUUGUUUCUUCCUUGGAAUCUUGCAGUUUCUUAGCUGGUCUCCUGACAUACUACUGAGGGGAGGAUAGCUAAUACCUGUAAAUACACUUGUAGUGCAAAUAUAUGUCCUUGAGAUACUUUAAAACACCUAAGUAGGUGCACUUAUAGCAAGGAAAUAGUAGAAAGCCUUGUUUAAGUGAUGGCUUUCUGAUUCCCAUACUAAUUGGUUGUAUCAACACUGUUGCCGAAUUACUGCAUACUUCUCAUUUUCAAAUACAUGCAGGAUGAAGUCGCAUCCAAGGCUGCCUCAGUAUGACUCCCAACUUAUUUUUUUAACCUCAUCUUUCAGUUUUUUUCCACUUAAUUUUAUAUGCCCAGUAAACAAAGUUGUGCAGAUUCUUAUAAAUACCAUUACCUUUUAUUUUCUUUGGUGCUGGCAUCAUGCUGUUUUUCUGUUUGGAACACCCUCCCUUUCCACAGUACCCCACCACCUCCAUGAAAAACCAGUCUCAUGUUCUUCCAAGUUCAUCUUAACUCAUUUGGUACAUUAAACAAAUGUCAAGGGCCUGCACCAUUGGGAGUAUAAUAGACUAAUCUUUCCUUUGGUUGCAUGAAUCUCAUCACAUGUCUCCCAUCACAUGGAUCACUUUCUACUUUGUAUUACAAUUAAUUGGUGAAUAUGUUUUACCUCCUUUGCUAGAUUACAAAUUCUUGAGAGCUCAGUCUUUCAUGUCUGUUCUGCUAUGCUUUGCAUAUAUGGUAGAUAUUUACUAAGCUGCCUUGAGGGGUUACUACUCUCAUCUCUAUUAAACAGUUAUUUGCUGUGGUACAGCGUGUUGACCUCGUGCUAGUAGUUUGCUUACAAGUCAGUGCACUUCGCUCGCGCUGGGUGAGUUGUAUGUUACCAGAAGUUGUGUUGAUUUCCAAGACUAUUUUGUGACAGGUAAUCUUGUUUCCAUAAAAUAAUUUAAAUAUCAUGUGAGCUGAUGAAAUGAGUGCAAACCUUUGUUUCCUGAAAACCAAGUUGGAUUCUUUGGGAAGACUUGAUAAAAGGUGAGUCAUUAAAAUAAUGACUGUAGAAUUAGAUAUGGCUGAAAUAACUCAAAGUUUGGGAAGAAAAAUAACAACAGGAGGAUUCUGUAUGUGGAGUGUUUUACAAGGAUCUUUUAAACUUUCCACUUUAAUGAAGCUGAAACUGGAAAUUGUAGAUAAUGCCAUUUGUAGAUGUCGUUUAGAUCAAGCAGAAGGAACUCAAAUCAUCAGGGAACUCCAGGUCAUCGAUUCCAUUCUCCAAGUGCUUGUCAUGACCCCCAUAUUGAGGUUGGCAAAUAAAUGUAUGUUUAUGUGUUGAAUAAAAUAGUUAAUAAAAUACUUAAGGUACGUAUAUAUGGUUUUAUGACUGGAUAUGGCUUUGGGUAUGAAGGCUUCUGCUUUAUAGAAAAAGUGCUGAUUUUUUUGUUUUCUAUUAUAAAUUAGUAGAAAAACCUUGUAAGAUCUGAAAUGAAGAUACUGGAUGUGUUACCGUAGAAUAAACAAAGACUGGCAUUGGGAGACUAGAAGGAGCUUUAGAGGCAGAUGGGACUGGGUUUUGGAUUCUAGCACCUACUUCCUAAGGACUUUAACCUUUUGGAUCCUCAGUUCUUUCUUUGUAAAAUGGAAGUAAUUCAUUAGGGAGGGCAUUUGAAGAUAAAGUGGUUAUGUGACCUUGGAGGUAAAGUGUAGUUCUGUUGUUAAAGUAGCUUUGUGGUCUUAGGCAAGUUGCUGUGAACUUCAUUGCCUAGUUUUUCAUUAUUCCCAGUUUAUUAAUGAAGAAACUCUAAAACUUAGAUAAUAUCUAAGUUUAUUUCAUUAGAAUCCCAAACUAGAUCAAACCUGAAAUACAGUUCUUGCUCAGUAAAUGUUUGAAUUAGUGAUGUUGGUGCUUACUACUCUGCUCCCAUCUAUUAUUGCCAUGAGGGGCGUGGGCCUGGGUUUGCCAGCUUUUUUUUCCUCUUUUCCUCUUACCAGCCAGAAAUCCAGAUUUUAUAGGAAAUCUGUUUUUUUUUUUUUUGAUGUUGCCAACUAAUUGAAGAGUACUUAGGUACCAUGGAUCAAAUGUAAUGUAUCUAUGGGUUAGGUUGGCUCUCAUUUUGUAAUCUAGAUAUUCAGAUAAUUAGCUGUAGGUAGUCUGUAAAUCUCUUAGCAUUUAUGUUAACAAAGCCCACCUUGUUAAUUGGUCACUGGUUUGCAGUAGGACUGAUUUCAGCGAUGGCAGGCAUAGUCAAUUCUUGAAAGUAGUAUCUAUAGUUUCAGAUUGUUGGGUUGUAUGUGUGCAUUUAGGCUAAAAUAUACAUGUAGGCUUCAGAGCUGCACCGUGUAAACUGUGAGGGAGUGACAUUCACAAUCCACUUUUUCUUUCAAUGAGUGAUUGCUUGUUUUAGGCAUGUGUUAGUACUAUUUGGUUUGUACCCAUUGUAUUAACCUCUUAGGUGUUUGAAAUCCUACUGGCAUGCAAAGAUUGCUUUGCCUAGAAAAUAUUUUUUUUUGCUCAGAGUGUGUCUGUGGAAUUAAAAAUAGUUUACCCAUGAUCCCUGGAAAAUAGUAUUACCAUGAAAAAAAUUCAGGUGCUCUCUUUGUAAAGAUUAUAGAGCAGGGAGGUGAUGACAUUUUUAUUUUUGACCAGGCUUUGUGUUUCCAUAAAAUAGAAGCCAAGUGAUUACCUUGAUUAACCUUCGUUUUUUGUCUUUUGUUUUUUUUUUCACUCACACUCCAGAUAGAUAACAUCAAAUUGCAAAUAAAACGAACUCAGAUCCCAAGUUGUUCUUACCUACCUUUUGGCCCAAGGUGUAAUUGAUUUGUUUUGUUUCCCCUUCCAAUCAUUUUUACUAUGAUUACAGUCCCAGGUAAGGUAAUUUCUAUCCACUUUGGGCAUACCUCAGUAGAGGUUGGUGUAGAUGAAAGCUUAAAAAUGAAAUUGCAAGUGAAAGCACAGACUUAGCAAAACUUUCUUUAUUGGAGCCCUCAAUCCUCAUAAACUGGCAUUUUUCUGCUUCUGCCCCAGAAUCGAGAAUUCCUGGUUUUGUCUUUGUUUAGACUUGAGUUUUUAAAAGUUUCUCUGUAACACCUACCCUGGUGGUUAAAUGCUUUAAUUUUGUCAGGUGAAGAAACCAAGUGCAGUUAUGGUAGCCAGGUUGCUGUGGAUAUAAUCCAGUUUGAGAAAAUUCUCAUUGUGGUGAUCAGAAGUGCAGUGUUGUGGUUGCAUUUCAGCUGCUGGGAAGAUGCUCCUGCAAAUCCAUGUGUCAUCUUUGCUUCCGUUAGAAAGGUGCAGAAUCAGUGUAAGUUACAGAUAUCUGCUCCCUUUUCAUUUUGUGCUCAGAUGCCCUGUAUAUGAAUUCUGAAUAUAAAACAUCUGUUCAGUCUGGUUUUGAUUCAGAUUUAAGGUGAAUUUCUGUUGCUCAGUUGAAAAGCUAAAUUUGAGCGUAGGCUCUGUCAGGCAUGUUGUAGGAAAGGUGUAUGGUACUGAAGUGUGUGGUUUUGUUUUUUAACUGCUUGACACUGUUAAGUAAGCAAAUGACCCAGUCAUGGGUUGUUUUGAUUGCCAUUCUUCUGUUGGUGUACUGCUUGCCUUCUGUUUUGUUAAUAGUCAUAUGAGAAAACAGUUGUAUGAAGUAUAGUAUCUUGAAGCUUUAAGACACCAAGUUUCCAUUAGGCAGUCUGAGUCUUGCAGACUUUGGUAGCACUAUUGGUCUCAUGGGACUGCCAUUCUCAUGUGUGGACUAAGUAAGGGCCAGGAGGUUUUGCAAAUUUUGUGUGUGUAAGAAGAUUGAAGAAAACAUUUUUCCUAAUGUCAUUGUCUUGAGUAUUUUAUCUGAUUAGGAUGGACUCAUUGGAAACUAUUGAUAAUUUCAAGAUUUCCUGUCAUCUGGCAUACAAAGAAAACAGUCGUGACCCUAUUUCCCUGGAUUUUUCUAUCCCUGUACUUGUCCUAUGUUUGCAAUGCAAGAGGAAAAUCCAGCUGCCUUUAUAAUCUAGAAUACCAUGUUUCUGUUUUUAUUUCUUAGGUUUAAUUCAGGGCGUAAUUUCUACCAGUCCCUCCAAAUACUGUUAAAGUUACCCUUUUUGUGGUCUUACUUCUUACUUCUUGAGUGUUAUGUUCUCCAAACCUUGGGGAAAAUUAGAAAGUUUUAAAGUUUUCCAACUAAAAAGUAUCUUUCAGAGGAAAUACCCCGAUUCCUGAAUCUUCUAUUUAUAACUUGGCCUGGAGAAUUAUAAUCUGGUCUACCAGGAAGUUGCUUGUGCUUAGAUUUUCUGCCUUAGUCACAUGGAAAGAUGAGCAGAAGCGAUUUCCUUCUAGAAACAUUUUCUAGAAACAUAAAAUUGGAACCAAGUAGACUGAGAACAGAAAAAAACACAAAAUUGACCUGGUAGGAUGUUUUACCUCUAUAAACCUUAUAGUUGCUAGCCUUUGAGGGAGGCUAGAUGAGUUGAUAAUAAUGCCUAACCUUAGCAAUGGAUUGAAGUAGGGGUGCAGGGGUUAUGUAGGUGUGUAUAUGUAUUUAAGAUAUAUAUAUACACCUGCAUAUUAUACACACAUAUAUACAAUUCUCUUGAAUCCUUAGCCAUCUAACAUUAGGUAGAGUGAUUUCCAUUUUACAAAUGGAAAAACUGAAGAAUUAAAACACAGACUUGGUCAUAUAUAAUGGUAAAUACAGUAGUUUAAUGAAAUUUUGUAUUGUACCUAUCACUCAGCUUCAACUGUUAAUUUCCAGUCUCCUCACCUCUAUUUUAUCUUAAAAUUUUUUUCAUUAAUUUCCCUUGGCUAACAUGACUAAAAAAAAUUUCAGACUUAAAGAGCAGUUCAUUUAACACUUGCAUGAUUUUUGCCUAGAUCACUAAUUGUUAGAAUAUGCCUUAUUUUAUCUUUUUUUAACUGCAUUAUUUUGAGAGUUGCAGACAUCUUGACAUACCUUUCUUAGGAAUAAGGGCCUUCUUCCUAACCACAACAUAGCCAUCACAUUCAAAAUGGACAUUGAUACGAUACUACCACCAAAUACUCAAUUCAUAUAGAAAUUUACGCUGUUCUUCCAGUAAUAGUUUUUAGUGUUUUAAUUCAGUAUUCAAUCAAGGAUCGUGUAUUUACUUGUUUAGUCUCCUUGAACAGUUCCAAAGCCUUUGUCAUUAAACAGUGGCACUUUGAGGAGUUUGGAGUCCAGGGCUACUGUUUUGCAGAAACCCUCACUUUGGAGUUGACUGUAGUUGUGUUUUCAUGAUUAGAGUUAGAUUAGCCAUUGUUGACAGGAAUGAGUAUUUCAUAGGGAUGUCAGUGCAUCACAUCGGGAGGCAUACCACUUUGUUAAGCGGUCAUUUGGUUAGGUGGCAUUCACCAGAAUGCGCCAUUGUAAAUGUACCCUAUUUCCCUUUUUUUAUUAAGUGAUCUAUGGAAUAACAAACUUGAGACUGAAUAUUUUGUUCUCCAACAAUCUGCAUUGGUUUUAGCAUCUGUUGGUGACUGAAUCAGUUAUUGCAGGAGUACUUUAAAGCAAACUUAGAUAUAUCAUUUCACCUGUAAGUAAUUAGUAUGUAAGAAAUAAGGACUUUUUUUUUUUUUUUUUUUUUGAGACCGAGUCUCGCUCUUUCGCCCAGGGUGGAGUGUAGUGGCGCGAUCUUGGCUCACUGCAAGCUCUGCCUCCCGGGUUCACGCCAUUCUCCUGCCUCAGUCCCAACUGGGACUGGGACUACAGGUGCCUGCCACCGCGCCCAGCUAAUUUUUUGUAGUUUUAGUAGAGACAGGGUUUCACUGUGUUAGCCAGGGUGGUCUCGAUCUCCUGACCUUGUGAUCCACCCGCCUCGGCCUCCCAACCGUAGUGCCUUUACACCUAACUACAAUUCCUUAACACCUCAUGUUCAUGUUCAAAUUCCCUGAAUUGUCAAAAGGGUCUUUCUACAGUUUUGGUUGACUCUGAAUCUAAACAAGGUCCACAAAUUAUGUUUGCUUAAUGACCUUAAGUCUCUUACUCUGUAAUAGCUUCUUCCCCCACUCUUUACCUUUCCGGAUUUGGCUGGUCACAUGCUGUUUAUAUAUAUUCUUCUAUUCCAGGUAAUUUCUGUAGACCCAUAGGUUCUAGAAAUUAGAUUCAGGUUUUGUUUUGUAAGAGCACUUAAGUGGUCUUGGGAGGGAUAGAUCACAUCAAGAGGGACACAUGUCUGCAUUUUAGAGAAAAGAUUAAUUCUUGGUGUGGGUACAGAUGUUAUCAGCCACACGCGUCCAUUUUGAAGUCCCGCAGCAGCCUUUCUCCUGAAAAUUGUAGCAUCCCUAUACUCAUAGCCUGGGUGCAUUACUUCAGGGCUUACCGGUGGUGAUUUUUCUCAUUACAUUAGUCCUUUUGCAUCAGUUAGCUGGAUUUUAUCUGACUUGUGUUUAUUUCUAGUUUGUGUGUGUGUGUGUGUAUAUAUGUCUUCCUGAAAGGUGUUGUAAAAGGAUGCAUUCUUCAUCUUUAUUUCAGAAAGGAUGUUCAUGAACUCCCUUAGUGAUCCUCUCAAAUGUCCUCAGUUUUCUCAUUUGUAAAUUGGGGAUCAUUAUCAUGUCUGCCUCUUGGGGUUUUUGUUAGGAUUAGAUGAGCUCAAACAUGUAGUGUAAAAAUAGUGGUUGGCACAUGAUGUUUGGUAAAUGCUAGUUACUAAGGUAACUUCUUUAGUUUUGUGGGAACUCUGAACCCAAGUGUAAUGGAGAGGUGGAAGAGGGAGUUCUUCAUGAGUUGACAUCAGGGUGCUUGGGUUUCUGUUGGGUGAGCUGAAGGGAAUUGUUGCUUGCUAGCACUGACCUGCUCUUUCAGCUGUGUGGGAACGGUUGCCAGACAGACACGCACAAGGAAGGUCUGCACAUAUCACUGCACACUAAGAGGUGGAUGUCGACCGUUGCAGCAGUAAAACUCGAAACACAUUCCACAGUGGAGUUAGCACAGUGAAGGGAAGUGGGCCAGACUGGUGGUAGGUGGUAGGUUGAGGGAGAUGGUGGCUCCAGAUACAGGUUUUUACUAUGUCAUGGGCCACUGAGAUUUUCAUCUGAAUGAACAUAUUUGUCUAGUCCAGUUUGCCUUGUCAUUACAUAUACCCUCAACUGGAGCUAUUUGAGAUUGCAGAUCACUGGUGGAGGAGGGAGGAGGCUCUUUUUCCCUUUAGGCCUGUUUAAUCUGCAUCUCUUGUUGCUUAAAAAACCCACUGUUGGUGGUAAUGUAGGAUAUUGGAAGUUUAGUAGUCUUGAUGGCGAAGAACUUAGUUGUUAAUAUUUGAUUUUUUUAUUUAACAAACAUUUGAGCACCUGUAAUAUGUAAGAUGAUGUUGUGGACACUAGGACACAUCAGGGAACAACACAGAAAAUUCUACCCUCAUGGAGUUUACAUACAUGGUAGUGAGGAGACAGAAGAAACGUUUAAGUUUUAUAGCGUGUUAGGUGUUGAGUACUAUGGAUAAAUACAAAGUUGGAAGGGGAGGCAUUGAGAUGGUCAGGGAAGUUACUUUUGUUCAAAGGCGUAAAAGGAGAGGAGACAGGUCUUGUGGAAAUCUAGGGUUACAAAGUGUUGCCUGCAUAGGAAACAGCCAGUCCCAGAGGCUAGUUUGGUCCAUUGUGAUGAAAGGGUUGACUGCUUGCUGUGCUAGUGCCCUGUAGUGGGCCAAGGGCAGAAGCAUGGAGACAAGUGAUCUGGAUGAGAUAGAAUGGUGAUUUGAACCAAGGUGCUAGUAGUUGUCUUUGAUUCUGGAUGUAUUUUAAGUAGAGCCAACAGGCUUUGCUGAUGGAUUGAUUGCAUGUGGGUUGAGGGAGAAAGUGAGCAGUCAAGGAUGACUAAAAUUUUUGGACUGAGCAAUAGUGAGGAUGAAGUUGCUGUUCUGAGAUGGGGAGGAUUGAGAGUAGAACAGGUUUUUUGGGCAAGAGCAAAUUAUUCAUACCCCUGAACAACAGGCAACUGCAACACUUCAUCCAUUAAGAGCAGUUGUCCAUAAAUUUUACUGUGAGAACCCUUGCAUCUGUAGAUUGUACAGCUAAUUCUUCUAACUUAAUGUUUUAAAGUAGUGGGAGUUGAUAGAUAAAGAUUGGCUUAGAUAGAAUCCUAUAGCCUGUGAUGACUGGGUCAAGUGUAGAAUACACCUGAAGACUUACUAUUUUUCCCCCUCUGGUGGAAUGACUAAUUAACACUGAUAAAAAGAAUGAAGGCAGAAAGCCUUGAACUUGGAUGGUGAGACCAUAGAUAAGUCUGGUCUUACAGCUGACUCAUCAGGGCUUUGCUGUAUGUGAAGCCUAUGCCUGGGACUUCUUUUUACUUUUAAUCUCUUCAUUUUCUCCAUACACAUCCAUUCACAUGAUCACACAAAGAUUUCAGCUGGUUUUUAUCUUACGUACUGUUUGCAGUCUUACUUUGUUAACAGUUGUUACGUAUCCAUCUUGUGUAUUUUCAAGCACAACUUUUUAAACAUGCAUGAUCUUUUAUCAAUAUCGUUAAUGUUUCUUCCUGUCAGUAAUGUCCUUUUCACUGAAGGUAGUAUUGCAUAGUGAUUAAGGGCAAAAGCUAUUUAGACAUAGAUGUGAGUGCACAUCCUGGCUUUAACACAGACAGCUGUGGCCUGGGGUGAGUUAUACUACCUCAUGGCUUCAGUUUUCUCAUCUGUAAAAUGGUCAUGAUAAUUGUACUUAUCUCAUGAUUGUUAUAAGGAUUAAAGUAAUGCACAUAAAACUAGACACAGUACCUAGAUGGUGUUAGGACUUAGAUUAGUGUUUUUUGUUUUUUUUUAAUUUCCAUUAUUUAUAACUCAUCUUUGAUAAACAGUCUUUUACAAGCAGAUAGUGUUGAGCCUCUUGAAUUCUUCUCAUUGAGUUGCACAAAUGUUUGGUCAAGAUUACAUAGUGAUAGGCAUUGCUGCUCUGUUAUUUCUUAUUUUCUUUUCUUUUUGAGACAGUCUCACUUUGUUGCCCAGGCUGGAGUGCAGAGGCGUGAUCUCGGCUCACUGCAACCUCCACCUCUCUGGGUUCAAGCGAUCCUCUUGCCACAGCCUCCUGAGUAGCUGGGAUUACAGGCAUGUGCUACCACACCUGGCUGAUUUUUGUGUUUUUUUAGAGAUGAGAUUUGGCCAGGCAGGUCUCGAACUCCUGGACUCAAGUGAUCCACCCGCCUUGGCCUCCCAAAGUGCUGGGAUUACAGGUGCGAGUCACCACGCCCGGCCUGUUAUUUCAUGUUUUCAUUUAUCUUUAACAAAAUGGGUUGUUGGGAGUUUGCUCCUAUAUGUGAUCUAGUAUUAUUCACAUAAAAGUUAAAACCAGUAGUGGUUUCAUAGUUGUUCUUCCCUCCCUGACUGACAUAUCUACAAGGUCUUAUUUCUCUGAGAUUUCUAUAAAAAAAUUCAUGAUGAGCCAAACUUAUUGGUAGAAUCAGGUUAAAAUGAAUAUAUCUUGGGCGGAGUGUAUAUGGACGAAGUAAAUCUGGUGGUUUAUGAACUUUUCUAGGUGAAUAAGAUUUUAUUUGAGGAAAUGGUUUACUUUGGAAAUUAUCCAUUCUUAACCCCUCUCCACUCCUGUCCCAGGAGAAACUGAUAAAAGUAGAGCUGUUCUGGUGGUAGAGGGUUGGGAGGAGGGCCGCAGUCCCUCCCUACUCUGCCUCAACUUCACCUAUCAGAAUACAGCUUCAGCACCAUUUGAGUCCAAUCAGGGUUUUGUAUAAUUAAUAACUUUAAAAACUUGAGGGUGCAAGUUUAAUAGAAAUGUUUUGUCAAAAAGAUUUAAGGGCAAAUUCUUUAUAUUUUAGGGAUGGUUAAAACAUUACGGUACAGGUUGAAUAUCCCUUAUCUUAAAUGCUUGGGACCAGAAGUGUUUUGGUUUGUGGGAUAUUGCAUAUUACUUGGUGGCUGAGCAUCCCAAAUCUGAACAUCCCAAACUCAAAGUGCUCCAGUGAGCAUUUCCUUUGAGCAUCAUGUCAGUGCUCAAAAAGUUUUGGAUUUGGGAGGAGCAUUUCAGAUUUUGGAUUUUUGCAUUAGGGAUUCUUAAUCUGUAGUGUUGUCUUUAGCUCCACUUACAAUUUAAAACUGGCUGGAGUUCAGGCCAGUUAUAUUAGGAAAACCUGUUUUGCUCUUUGUGGUACUGAUGAACCGCUACAGUAUCCUUGCUCCAUAUUUUUAAAGUAAGCAGGAGUUGAGGACAGUCUGUGUGAGUACACAUACACUCUGUAUCAAGCGUUGGUAGUCUAUUCCACCACUGGAAUUUGCUUUCCUAGACCUUAAGUCAAGGUGACAAAAGUGAAAGCAUGUAUGAAAAGUCUUAAGAAUUUUAUAUACAUUUUUUUCUUUUUGUAUUUUACUUGAAGUGAUUAAGUAGGAGCUAAUAGUUGAUGGGACAGUUGGGAGUCUGAAAUGUUUGAGAGAGCUGCAUCUUUAAUGCAUCAUUUUAUCUAAUUCUUCUAUGUAUAAAUAACUUGGGAAAAUCCUAAUAUGCCUUGCACAUAGUUGACAGUUUAAUUUGAAAGGAACUAAUAUCACUUCUAGUAUAUUCAGGUUGUAGGGAGUAAACUGACAUUUACUGAGCCAUCUCCCCAUUGCACUGGGCAAUACUAGCUUUCUCUGUUACUUAUUCCCUAUAAAUGAUAAGGAGCAAGUUGGUUUCAUUUUAAAAGCCAGACAGUUGAGACUUGUUGAGGCUCAUAGAGUUGAAGUUGUUGCCUGAGAUCCUACAGUUAGGAAGUGACGGAGCAUGGAACCGAGCCCUUAAAAACUGCUGUUUUCUUCUGCACCAUGCCACCUGCAUAGAUGUGGUACCUACACCCACCUCCCUUCUUACAGAAUCGUGAAAUCUGUCUGUUGGGGUGGGGAGAAAACAAGCUUGGGUAUGCCCAUGUUUUUUAUUUUUGGUAGGUUACACAAAAGUGAUUGUAAUUCAGGUAAUUAGGUUUUCAGAGGUGUCUGUGUGUUUUAUAACCCUCAAAUUAUUAGCUGGCUAAGUGAAUAUUUUUCAUUUGGAUCAGAGGAUGAGCAGGGCUCAUCAAGCUUACCAUUGACAGAGUGCUGGACUAGGCGUCUCAGAUUGUAUCUUGAGUGUGUAGUUUGUAAAUUGACUCCAAAGCUAAAGAGGUGGUUGUUUGGUCACGUUUAAGAUUAUUGCGUACUACUCUUUGCAGGCCCGCCUGUGUCAUUGAACUUAUUAUGACUUGAAGCCCUGAGUAUAGGAGAUAAUUUUUCUUGUUCCUUGUUUGGUUUUUGUGGCAGGUGGUUUUUUAUUUUAUUAUUUUUUCGAUAGAGUGCCCAUAUAUCCUGCAGUUUACAGAUAGUUCCAGAAUAAGUUUCUGGUUUGGAAGAUAAAUUAUAUGGUCAUCCAGAUAGUACAAGAGAGAUUUGGUCAUGAUAACUAAUUACAUUUUGGUUAACAUGGUUAUAUCACCUGAAGGAGUGCUUAUUUAAAUUUGGUCUUACCUUUUUUUCUCUUUCUAUUUGGUCAAAUGCAGCAAAUAUUUAUAUUUACACUUCUCUAUUUGGAUUAAUUCUUUAGUUGAAAUUUAAUUUAUCCAGAUACGUGGAAUAGAACCAAAACUGCAUUCUGAUUCUGUGCACAACAAUAAAAUACUACUUUCUGAAAAGGAUGCCUUCUCUUUUGGGAAGAAGGGGAAUCUGCUCUGUUUCAAAGCACCUUUGUGUUCGAGGUUUGGCUAAAUCUGCUCAUCACCACUAGGGGACUGUUUCUUUUUGCAUUCUACAAGUAUUACUCCCAUUACAGAAGCUUUUUAAGAAAAAAAUGGACUACCAAGGAACCCACCUAUGUGCUUUUCAUAACUAUACCUAUUUUAUUGUCUCAUAAUUUUUACUUGAGAGGUUUGCCUGAAUGGUGAACUGUGACAAAAA